rnacentral:rRNA from 1 species
UACGUAGGGCGCGAGCGUUGUCCGGAAUUAUUGGGCGUAAAGAGCUCGUAGGCGGCCUGUCGCGUCGGUUGUGAAAGCCCGGGGCUCAACCCCGGGUCUGCAGUCGAUACGGGCAGGCUAGAGUUCGGUAGGGGAGAUCGGAAUUCCUGGUGUAGCGGUGAAAUGCGUAGAUAUCUGGAGGAACACCGGUGGCGAAGGCGGCAUCCUGGACCGGCAUUGACGCUGAGGCGCGAAAGCCAGGGGAGCAAACGGG